rnacentral:lncRNA from 1 species
CAUAGCCUCAAGGAUCAUGAGAAUCUUGGUUCCCUUUGCCUUUGGGUGGGACUCCUUAUGAUUGGUUUGAGAUCACCAAGCAUGCUUGAAUUAUACAUCAUUGUUUCUCUUACUUUUGUUUACUAAAAAAAAAGAAAAAACGAAAAAAAGAAAAAAAAAAGAAAAAAGAAAAACAAAAAUAAAUAAAUAAUCAAAUAAAAUAUAACAAGAAUUUUUUUUGGAGUUGGGCCUCUCUCAUUUGAGCCCAUAGGUCCACAAAAACCAGGUUAUAAAUUCAGAGUUUCAGUAAAACAAAGG